rnacentral:rRNA from 1 species
CCUACGGGUGGCAGCAGUAGGGAAUAUUGCUCAAUGGGGGAAACCCUGAAGCAGCAACGCCGCGUGGAGGAUGAAGGUUUUAGGAUUGUUAACCUCUUUUGUUAGAGAAGAUUAUGACGGUAUCUAACGAAUAAGCACCGGCUAACUCCGUGCCAGCAGCCGCGGUACUACGGCGGGUGCAAGCGUUACUCGGAAUCACUGGGCGUAAAGAGUGCGUAGGCGGGGUAAUAAGUCAGCUGUGAAAUCUUGUAGCUUAACUACAGAACUGCAUUUGAAACUGUUACUCUGGAGUGUGGGAGAGGUAGGUGGAAUUCUUGGUGUAGGGGUAAAAUGCGUAGAGAUCAAGAAGAAUACUCAUUGCGAAGGCGACCUGCUGGAACAUUACUGACGCUGAUGCACGAAAGCGUGGGGAGCGAACAGGAUUAGAUACCCGGGUGGUC